UACGUAGGCAGCAAGCGUUGUUCGGAGUUACUGGGCGUAAAGAGUGCGUAGGCGGUUCCGUAAGUUUGGUGUGAAAUCUCCCGGCUCAACUGGGAGGGUGCGCCGAAGACUGCGGUGCUUGAGUGUGGGAAAGGUAGGCGGAAUUCCUGGUGUAGCGGUGAAAUGCGUAGAUAUCAGGAGGAACACCGGUGGUGUAGACGGCUUACUAGACCAUGACUGGCGCUGAGGCACGAAAGCGUGGGUAGCAAACAGG
rnacentral:rRNA from 1 species